rnacentral:rRNA from 1 species
UACGUAGGGUCCGAGCGUUGUCCGGAGUUACUGGGCGUAAAGCGCGCGCAGGCGGCGGUGCUGGCCCGGCGUGAAAGCCCCCGGCUCAACCGGGGAGAGUCGUCGGGGACCGCACCGCUUGAGGGCGGUAGGGGCUGGUGGAAUUCCUGGUGUAGCGGUGAAAUGCGCAGAUAUCAGGAAGAACACCUAUGGCGAAGGCAGCUCUCUGGGACGGUACUGACGCUGAGACGCGAAAGCGUGGGGAGCGAACAGG